UAAUACUGUAAGUAAAACAUCAGAAUUAUCCCAGGAUUUUACUCGGUGUAGUUGGCCGAAUGUCAGCUCAUAUCAGAAAAUCAGUGCCUUAUCUGGUUUGUUAAAUUCUACACACAGUGGAGAGCCAGACUGCAUAAUGAUGCUCAUUGCUUUUAAAGGUUUUGUUUGGUCUCCGUUGACUGUCACCAUUUUAAUCUUAAGUUUAGUAUCCAGCACUGCAGCUGAUUCAGGAACAGUAGUGAGUGCAGUCGUAGAUUGUGAGCUUUAUAAUGACCUGUACAUCUGCACUGGUGCUCAGCACCGCAUGCACUGCAACAUUACAAAACAUCAUUUCUCCUACCAGAGAAACCAACACCAGUACCAGUGCUUGAGUAAUGACUGUGUCUGUGUUGGUAAUAACGACACCUGUGUGUGUUAUUAUAAUACUUCAUCCUGCUUCUGUGAGACGUUCAACAAUACAACUCUCACUACAGCAGUCAAUCCAGUCUCUGAGUGUGUGCACUAUAAUGACCUGUACAUCUGCACUGGCGCUCAGUAUCACAUGUACUGCAACACAAGUGUACAUGAUUUCUAUU